GCCGUAGUUCAGCGGUAGAGCAUCUUCUUUUCAUGCAGAAGGUGCUACGUUUAAUCCCUGGCAUCUCCA